rnacentral:rRNA from 1 species
GCAUAAUAAUUUGCCUCUUAAUUCGAGGCUGGAAUGAAUGGAAACACGAAAAUAACCCUGUCUCAUCUUUAUCUCUAAAACUUAAACUACAGGUGAAGAUGCCUGUAUACUCUUGAAAGACACGAAGACCCUAUAGAUUUUAAACUGUCAAGUCAAAAAAACGAACCAGUUUUAGUUGGGGCGACUAAGGAUACCAAAAAACAUCCUUUCAAACAUCGAACUAUAACUCUCUUUAAAGAAUUUAUUUUCUAGUACACCAAAAAAAAUUACCUUAGGGAUAACAGGCUUAUCCCCCUAAAAAGUCCAAAUUGAAAGGGGGGUUUGGCACCUCGAUGUUGGCUUAGAGUAACCCGCUAAAGUAGAAAUUAGCCAGGUUAGUGUGUUCAACUAUUAAACCUCU